rnacentral:rRNA from 1 species
AUUGAACGCUGGCGGCAUGCCUAACACAUGCAAGUCGAGCGGAGCGGCGGACGGGUGAGUAAUGCCUAUGAAUCUGCCUGGUAGUGGGGGAUAACUUCCGGAAACGGUCGCUAAUACCGCAUACUAUCAGAUGAGCCUAGGGCGGAUUAGCUAGUUGGUGGGGUAAAGGCCUACAAAGGCGACGAUCCGUAACUGGUCUGAGAGGAGGAGCAGUCACACUGGAACUGAGACACGGUCCAGACUCCUACGGGAGGCAGCAGUGGGGGAGGUUGGACAAGGGGCGAAAGCCUGGUCCAUCCAUGCCGCGUGUGCGAAGAAGGUCUUCGGAUUGUAAAGCACUUUAAGUUUGGAGGCGUUACCAACAGAAUAAGCACCGGCUAACUUCGUGCCAGCAGCCGCGGUAAUAC